rfam:Gossypium raimondii Chr04_contig_1282, whole genome shotgun sequence.
CAUUAAAAAUUUCAUCAAUUUCUAUCGUUAAAACCUGGUGUGGCUGGUGGAAUAACCAGACAGUUACACGUGGCGUGCUUAUGCUGAUGUAGAUGGACCAGUUUUUAACAGUAAGAGUGGAUGAAAGUUUUAACA